rnacentral:rRNA from 1 species
UGCCCUAUGCUGGAUAAUAACCUCGGGAAACUGAGAAUAAUGAUCCAUAGUUCACUACGCCUGGAACGGUGAGUGGAUGAAAGCUCCGGCGGCAUAGGAUGGGCCUGCGGCGUAUCAGGUUGUAGGGGGUGUAACGUACCCUCUAGCCCUCUACGCGUACGGGUGUUGGGAGACAUAGCCCGGAGAUGGAUUCUGAGACACGAAUCCAGACCCUACGGGGUGCAGCAGGCGCGAAAACUUGGCAAUGCGAGAAAUCGUGACCAGGGAACUCCAAGUGCAUCGGGUAAGACCGGUGCUUUUCUUGACUCUAAAUAGGUCUUGGAAUAAGGGGUGGGUAAGGACGGUGCCAGCCGCCGCGGUAAUACCGGCGCCUCAAGUGGUAGUCGCUUUUAUUGGGCCUAAAACGUCCGUAGCCGGUCUGAUACAUUCGUGGGUAAAUCAACCAGCUCAACUGGUUGAAUUCUGCGAGGACGGUCAGACUUGGGACCGGGAGAGGUGUGGGGUACGCUCAGGGUAGGGGUAAAAUCCUGUCAUCCUGAGCGGACCACCUGUUGCGAAGGCGCCACACUAGAACGGAUCCGACGGUCAGGGACGAAGCCUAGGGGCACGAACCGGAUUAGAUACCCGGGUAGUCCUAGGUGUAAACGCUGUGGACUUGAUGUUGGGGGUGCUCCGAGCACUCUCAGUGUCGAAGCGAAGGUG